AACGAACGCUGGCGGCAUGCCUAACACAUGCAAGUCGAACGAGCCCUUCGGGUCUAUUGUCGCACGGGUGCGUCACGCGUGGGAACCUGCCCUUAGGUUCGGAAUAACUCCCCGACAGGGGUGCUAUUACCGGAUAAUGUCUUCGGCCCAAUGAUUUAUCGCAUUUGUUUGGUCCCGCGUUGGAUUAGCUAGUUGGUAGGGUAAAAGCCUACCAAGGCGACGAUCCAUAGCUGGUCUGAGAGGAUGAUCAGCCACACUGGGACUGGGACACGGCCCAGACUCCUACGGGAGGCAGCAGUGGGGAAUAUUGGACAAUGGGCGAAAGCCUGAUCCAGCAAUGCCGCGUGAGUGAUGAAGGCCUUAGGGUUGUAAAGCUCUUUUACCCGGGAUGAUAAUGACAGUACCGGGAGAAUAAGCUCCGGCUAACUCCGUG
rnacentral:rRNA from 1 species